rnacentral:rRNA from 1 species
ACCUACGGGGCGCAGCAGUGGGGAAUUUUGGACAAUGGGCGCAAGCCUGAUCCAGCAAUGCCGCGUGCAGGAUGAAGGCCUUCGGGUUGUAAACUGCUUUUGUACGGAGCGAAACGGCCAACCCUAAUACGGUAGGCUAAUGACGGUACCGUAAGAAUAAGCACCGGCUAACUACGUGCCAGCAGCCGCGGUAAUACGUAGGGUGCAAGCGUUAAUCGGAAUUACUGGGCGUAAAGCGUGCGCAGGCGGUGAUGUAAGACAGAUGUGAAAUCCCCGGGCUCAACCUGGGACCUGCAUUUGUGACUGCAUCGCUAGAGUACGGUAGAGGGGGAUGGAAUUCCGCGUGUAGCAGCGAAAUGCGUAGAUAUGCGGAGGAACACCGAUGGCGAAGGCAAUCCCCUGGACCUGUACUGACGCUCAUGCACGAAAGCGUGGGGAGCAAACAGGAUUAGAUACCCCUGUAU